GUAGGACCGUUCCGUUAGGAGGUAGGACUGUUCCGUUAGGAGUUAGGACCGUUCUGUUAGGAGGUAGGACACUUCCGUUAGGAGGUAGGACACUUCCGUUAGGAGGUAGGAUACAUCCGUUAGGAGGUAGGACUGUUCCGUUAGGAGGCAGGACACUUCGGUUAGGAGGUAGGACUGUUCCGUUAGGAGGUAGGACACUUCGGUUAGGAGGUAGGACUGUUCCGUUAGGAGGUAGGACACUUCGGUUAGAAGGUAGGACCGUUCCGUUAGGAGGUAGGACCGUUCCGUUAGGAGGUAGGACACUUCCGUUAGAAGGUAGGACACUUCCGUUAGAAGGUAGGACCGUUCUGUUAGGAGGUAGGACCGUUCCGUUAGGAGGUAGGACUGUUCCGUUAGGAGGUAGGACCGGUCCGUUAGGAGGUAGGACCGUUCCGUUAGGAGGUAGGACUGUUCCGUUAGGAGGCAGGACCGUUCCGUUAGGAGGUAGGACUGUUCCGUUAGGAGGUAGGACUGUUCCGUUAGGAGGUAGGACCGUUCCGUUAG
ensembl:lncRNA